rnacentral:lncRNA from 1 species
AUUACAAGCUGGGGAGAACUUUCUGGAAGCUGAUUCCAUAUUAGAUUGUUUAAUUGGGAAAUCAGUAGACUUCAUACUCUAGGUACUUCAACUUAUUUGUUUGUGCUUAAGUCUGGCCAACCAAAGCAUAAUCUGAAAGAGAAUUUUGCUGGUAAGAUGAACUUGUUUUCUCAGGUGUGCCAAACUUGAAAAGAAUAAGUAGAAAGGUAGAAAAUGAGUAAAGAGUAUCUUCCAAAAAGGUUGGACCUAUUUGUCUAAAAGUGGGACAAGGAAAACUUUUAUCUCACUUAACUUUUACUUUUGGGUGGCAUUUGAACAGGGCUUGUGUGUUUGGCAGCUCUUCUGUUGAGCCAUCUGUUUCAUAUUAUGCAUUUUCAGAAGGCACUUUGCAUCCAGGGAUACAGUUCCCCAGAACACAGGAGAUGUGAGUUGGAUUUGCAGUCUAGCUAUCUGUAAACAUGGAUAUGCAAUCGUAUGUGCAAAUAAAUUCUGUUCAUUUUGGAGAAAUCGAAGCAUUCAUACAGCUGGAGAAACCUGAGAAAGGAUUUAAGUGGAGAGCCCGUUUCCCUCAUACUGUGCUCAGGCAGUGCAGAAUGAGAGAAAACCACCGAACGUCCCCAGCCAGCUUGCAGUUUUUGGCAUUUCCUUGUCCAGGUUCCAGUGAAACAGUACUUCCCUCCCAGCAGCACUGGGCAGCUCUGAUGCAUCAUAGACCACGGGCUUUUCACAGGAAACACUAAAACUAUGGAUUUGAGCAACAUGUAGGAGAAGAAAAUUUUGCUCAUGUGGUGCAAUGAUGGGAGUAGUGGUAAAUCUAGAACGAGCCAGCAGACUUAAGGGAAAAGCUUCAUUUCAUCACUGUUAUCUUACUAGAGUAUUUUGUUUCCUUUCUACUGAUCUUCAUAUUAGCCAAAGGCACAGAAUGUUUGCAUUAUCAGCAAAGCUUGAGUCUUGUGGUGAUGAGGAUCACACUUAAGUGAUAUCAUUCGUAAUGAGUUGGCCAAAUGGUGGAUCUAUUGCGUUGUUUGGGCAGAUCUUACUCAAUGUGAUAUGCAUAAAGAUUCUCAUAAUGAUGUCAAAUUCAGUGAGGUGGUAGGAAAUAUUUAUUUCUGCUAAAAGAAGCAUAUGUUAUUAUUAUUGUUUGUGCACAAUUUGCACAUCUACAAAUCUAGUAAUUUUACUUUGUUGUGAUAUAUUUCAUCUUGUCAUAGAUCUUGAUAGUACAUUGCUUACUCAAGCUGUAUUACUGUUUAAAUUGGUCUCCAGAACAGUACAGGAAUCAACAAACAUUAUCUCAGCAAUGUUACAAAAUUGUGGUACCUAAAAGAAAUGAGAUAAAUUAAAAUUUUGCCAGCUUGGAUCUUGUUAGUAGAAUAAAUGCUUUUCUCAUAUGAACAAUUUGACAAAUUACUAUAAAGCUAUGAGAGAAGGGGACAAAAUUGUAGGCAUGUAGAAAUGUCAGAUAUAUAAUAACGGUACGGAGGAGAGAGACAAAAAGAGAGAUCCUUUGCUGUUUUUAGAGCCUGCCAAGAGUGUGGCUGCAAUAUUUUGGGAAGAGGAAUCUUUUAGACUAAUGCCAUCUGGCUGGCUUUCAUCUGUGCCAGUUGUCAUACAGGCCAAGUGCCCUGUCCUGCUUCCAAAACAUUUAUUGAAGAAGAAAUUUGGUUAAGAAACACUGUUAAUUCCCUGUUACCUGACUGGAAAUAUAUCAGUUAAAUGACUUAGAAACCCAAGCAAGCAAUCCAGGCUUUGAUCAAAAACUUCUUCAUCCAUGUUCUGAAGCAGUUUUAGGAUACUCUUCCCCUUUCAAGCCUCACUUGGAAGCAAGAAAGGCUGGCUGUACAAUCUGCUCCAAUUUGCUGUCCAAUGCGCAUGAUAAAUACACUGUUUAAAACAAAAUAGGUCAUUUGUCUCAUUCUUUUAAUUACCAACUACUUCUGAGAUACUGUGCACAUUGGUUUUGUUUCCUGUACCUUAUUUUUCCAGAAGGCAGCAAUCUAUCACACCAAGGUUUUUCAAAGCCUAUGUCUGUGUGACAGUACUGGCAACUCAGUUCAUCUAUCAAAUUAGUCAGUGAAGGCAUGUCUCAAUUCUACACUGGAGAUACCUGUGUUUUUAAUUUUGAUUGUGGCAAUUCCAUAUGCUGGAAAAAGGAUUUGAAAUUAUCAGACUUAGAUAUUGUAUUGGCUUUUCUUAAUGAAUUGGCUAUGAAUAUUUUGUGAUGCCAUCCAGGCCUUUGAUGAACUUUUUAAAUUUAAAGUUAACAGACAUCUUGUGUACCUAAGAAUCACUACUACAAAAGUAAGGAGACUUGGAAAGCAAGAAUAAACAUCA